rnacentral:rRNA from 1 species
UAGGGAAUAUUGGACAAUGGGCGAAAGCCUGAUCCAGCAAUGCCGCGUGAGUGAUGAAGGCCUUAGGGUUGUAAAGCUCUUUUACCCGGGAUGAUAAUGACAGUACCGGGAGAAUAAGCCCCGGCUAACUCCGUGCCAGCAGCCGCGGUAAUACGGAGGGGGCUAGCGUUGUUCGGAAUUACUGGGCGUAAAGCGCACGUAGGCGGCUUUGUAAGUUAGAGGUGAAAGCCCGGGGCUCAACUCCGGAAUUGCCUUUAAGACUGCAUCGCUAGAAUUGUGGAGAGGUAAGUGGAAUUCCGAGUGUAGAGGUGAAAUUCGUAGAUAUUCGGAAGAACACCAGUGGCGAAGGCGACUUACUGGACACAUAUUGACGCUGAGGUGCGAAAGCGUGGGGAGCAAACA